AGAUUUCCGAAUGGGGAAACCUGGCUAGUUGAAGACUAGUCGUACAAUGUACGCAAACCUGCCGAACUGAAACAUCUAAGUAAGCAGAGGAAGAGAAAAUAAUAAUGAUUUCCUAAGUAGUGGCGAGCGAACGGGAAAGAGCCCAAACCAGCUAUGUUACGGCAUAACUGGGGUUGUAGGACUACGAUAUGGCAUUAAUGAAAUGAAGUGGAACAGGAUGGGAAGCCUGGCAAUAUAGCGUGAGAGCCGCGUACACGUAAGUAACAUUAGUCUAGUAGUAUCCUGAGUACCGCGAGGUCGGAGACGCCUUGUGGGAAUCUGCCGGCACCAUCCGGUAAGGCUAAAUACUCCUGAGAGACCGAUAGUGAACCAGUACCGUGAGGGAAAGGUGAAAAGAACCCCGAACAGGGGAGUGAAAUAGAACCUGAAACUGUGUGCUUACAAGCGGUCGGAGCGUCCAGGUGGCGUGACGGCGUGCCUUUUGCAUAAUGAGCCUACGAGUUACUCUUCUCUGGCAAGGUUAAGUGUUUAAGACACGGAUCCGAAGCGAAAGCGAGUCUGAAUAGGGCGUAUAGUCAGGGGAGGUAGACGCGAAACCUUGUGAUCUACCCAUGGACAGGUUGAAGGUGCGGUAACACGUACUGGAGGACCGAACCGAUAAACGUUGAAAAGUUUCCGGAUGAUCUGUGGGUAGGGGUGAAAGGCUAAUCAAACUGGGAAAUAGCUCGUACUCCCCGAAAUGUUUUUAGGAACAGCGUCGUGGUAAAGUUAUUUAGAGGUAGAGCUACUGAUUGGGUGCGGGGGAGUCAAAUCCUACCAAAUCCAGACAAACUCCGAAUGCUAGAUAAUAUACACGGCAGUGAGGCGCGGGGUGCUAAGGUCACGCGCCGAGAGGGAAAGAACCCAGACCAUCAGCUAAGGUCCCCAAGUUACUACUAAGUUGAACUAACGAGGUGCGAUUGCCUAGACAGCUAGGAUGUUGGCUUGGAAGCAGCCAUUCAUUUAAAGAGUGCGUAACAGCUCACUAGUCGAGCGAUCGUGCAUGGAUAAUAAACGGGCAUUAAGUAGUACACCGAAGCUAUGGGUAAUAUUUAUAUUACGGUAGGGGAGCAUUCCAGCGGCAGCGAAGUUAUGACGUAAGUUGUGGUGGAGCUUCUGGAAAAGCAAAUGUAGGCAUAAGUAACGAUAAGGCGGGCGAGAAACCCGCCCACCGAAAGGAUAAGGUUUCCUGAUCAACGCUAAUCGGAUCAGGGUUAGUCGGGACCUAAGGAGAACCCGAAGGGGAUAUUCGAUGGACAACUGGUUAAUAUUCCAGUACUUUUUAUAACUGCGAUGUGGGGACGGAGUAGUGACACUGCCGCGAUCUGACGGAAUAGAUCGUUAAAGACUGUAGGUAUUGGAG
rnacentral:rRNA from 1 species